AAGAAAUUAGCUCAACAGGUAGAGCGACCGUUUUAUCUACGGAAGGUUGGGUGUUCGAGUCUCCCAUUAUUUA